rnacentral:tRNA from 3 species
GGGCCUGUAGCUCAGCUGGGAGAGCGCUGCGUUCGCAAUGCAGAGGUCAGGGGUUCGAGCCCCCUCAGGUCCACCA